GAUGAACGCUGGCGGCGUGCCUAAUACAUGCAAGUCGAGCGAACAGACGAGGAGCUUGCUCCUCUGACGUUAGCGGCGGACGGGUGAGUAACACGUGGAUAACCUACCUAUAAGACUGGGAUAACUUCGGGAAACCGGAGCUAAUACCGGAUAAUAUAUUGAACCGCAUGGUUCAAUAGUGAAAGACGGUUUUGCUGUCACUUAUAGAUGGAUCCGCGCCGCAUUAGCUAGUUGGUAAGGUAACGGCUUACCAAGGCAACGAUGCGUAGCAGACCUGAGAGGGUGAUCGGCCACACGGGAACUGAGCCACGGUCCAGACUCCUACGGGAGGCAGCAGUAGGGAAUCUUCCGCAAUGGGCGAAAGCUUGACGGAGCAACGCCGCGUGAGUGAUGAAGGUCUUCGGAUCGUAAAACUCUGUUAUUAGGGAAGAACAAAUGUGUAAGUAACUAUGCACGUCUUGACGGUACCUAAUCAGAAAGCCACGGCUAACUACGUG
rnacentral:rRNA from 1 species